rnacentral:rRNA from 1 species
UACAGAGGGUGCGAGCGUUAAUCGGAAUUACUGGGCGUAAAGCGCGCGUAGACGGUUUUGUAAGUCAGAUGUGAAAUCCCUGGGCUCAACCUGGGAACUGCAUUUGAGACUGCAUGGCUAGAGUAUCGAAGAGGGAAGUGGAAUUUCCGGUGUAGCGGUGAAAUGCGUAGAUAUCAGAAGGAACAUCAGUGGCGAAAGCGGCUUCCUGGACCAGAACUGACGAUCAGGCACGAAAGCGUGGGGAGCAAACAGG